GCAUAGGCAACCUGCCCUUAAGUGGGGGAUAGCCUGGGGAAACUCGGGUUAAUACCGCGUAAGCUGGAUAUGUGAAUAGUAUUCAGUAAAGGCUUCGGCCGCUUUAGGAUGGGCCUAUGUAUGAUUAGCUAGUUGGUAAGGUAACGGCUUACCAAGGCUUCGAUCUAUAGCUGGUCUGAGAGGACGAUCAGCCACACUGGAACUGAGACACGGUCCAGACUCCUACGGGAGGCAGCAGUAGGGAAUCUUGGGCAAUGGGCGAAAGCCUGACCCAGCGAUGCCGCGUGUGCGAAGAAGGCCUUAGGGUUGUAAAGCACUUUCAGUCGUGAAGAAAAGCUUAAAGUUAAUAACUUUGAGUCUUGACGUUAACGACAGAAGAAGAUCCGGCUAACUCCGUGCCAGCAGCCGCGGUAAUACGGAGGGAUCGAACGUUAAUCGGAAUUACUGGGCGUAAAGCGCGCGUAGGCGGUUUGAUAAGUGGGAUGUGAAAGCCCCGGGCUUAACCUGGGAACUGCAUUCCAAACUGUCAGACUAGAGUAUGGUAGAGGGUGGUAGAAUUUCCUGUGUAGCGGUGAAAUGCGUAGAUAUAGGAAGGAAUACCGAUGGCGAAGGCAGCCACCUGGACCAAUACUGACGCUGAGGUGCGAAAGCGUGGGGAGCAAACAGGAUUAGAUACCCUGGUAGUCCACGCCGUAAACGAUGACAACUAGCCGUUGGGACCCUUGAGGUCUUGGUGGCGAAGCUAACGCGAUAAGUUGUCCGCCUGGGGAGUACGGCCGCAAGGUUAAAACUCAA
rnacentral:rRNA from 1 species